rnacentral:rRNA from 1 species
CUGAUUAGUCGGAUGUGAAAUCCCUGAGCUUAACUUAGGAAUUGCAUUCGAUACUGGUCAGCUAGAGUAUGGGAGAGGAUGGUAGAAUUCCAGGUGUAGCGGUGAAAUGCGUAGAGAUCUGGAGGAAUACCGAUGGCGAAGGCAGCCAUCUGGCCUAAUACUGACGCUGAGGUACGAAAGCAUGGGGAGCAAACAGGAUUAGAUACCCUGGUAGUCCAUGCCGUAAACGAUGUCUACUAGCCGUUGGGGUCUUUGAGACUUUAGUGGCGCAGCUAACGCGAUAAGUAGACCGCCUGAGGAGUACGGUCGCAAGACUAAAACUCAAAUGAAUUGACGGGGGCCCGCACAAGCGGUGGAGCAUGUGGUUUAAUUCGAUGCAACGCGAAGAACCUUACCUGGUCUUGACAUAGUAGAAACUUUCCAGAGAUGGAUUGGUGCCUUCGGGAAUCUACAUACAGGUGCUGCAUGGCUGUCGUCAGCUCGUGUCGUGAGAUGUUGGGUUAAGUCCCGCAACGAGCGCAACCCUUUUCCUUAUUUGCCAGCACUUUGGGUGGGAACUUUAAGGAUACUGCCAGUGACAAACUGGAGGAAGGCGGGGACGACGUCAAGUCAUCAUGGCCCUUACGACCAGGGCUACACACGUGCUACAAUGGUCGGUACAAAGGGUUGCUACACAGCGAUGUGAUGCUAAUCUCAAAAAGCCAAUCGUAGUCCGGAUUGGAGUCUGCAACUCGACUCCAUGAAGUCGGAAUCGCUAGU